AUACUUUCGCAAGGCACUGUAACUUCCAUGGGGCUAUUACCAAGGUGAUGGUAACCGCUUGGUUCAUUGUUGCUCCUGGCUGUUGUAAUGACAGUUGUUAUGGUAGUUAGAGUCAAUAACCAAGUCUCAACAACCAACGUUUGUAUUGUCACAUGAGGCCAAGUACCGUUGCCACAGUGGUUUGUCCUGUGAGUGUAGUCAUUUGGGUGGAUAAAGUUUUGUAAUCCGCUCUUACAAUCCAACCUCCGGCACAUGGGAUGAUGUGUUUUUUGUUUUUUUUUUGUGUUCAUGUUUCCUGUUUAAGUCUGUUUAGUUCUCUGUUCCAGCUCCAGUUUGUAUUCUGUAUUUUGGUUUGGUCUUGGACUGUCGUCGCUUGCUUUACUUCCUGGUUUAUUUUGAAGUUGUCUGUGUCUGGUAUUUGUGUCUAGCUUGUCCCUGUGUCUGAUUAGUUCCUCAUGUUUUCCACCUGUUUACUCCCUCCCUGCUCGUUACUUAAUGCCUGUGUUCCUUUCAGUUUGUGUUGGAUCAUUGUGGUUUGUGUUUGCUCUGCUCUCGCUCCCAAGCUUCUCAUGGAUUUUUUGGUUCUAAAUGGAUAACCUGUUUUUGUUGGACUUGUUGUAUCUGCCACUAUUGUCCCGGUGGACGAUGUUCUGGCUGUGGAGAUGCUGGACCACCUCCAUCAGAGCACGUAUGAUCUUCCUAAAACCAAACACCAAAAAGAUUUGAACCAUUCAUCGCCUUUGUCUUAAAUAGAAACAACGCUCUCACAGACCUGGUUUCCUUCUCACUCAGAGUAACUUUCUCUGUCAGGUAGUCAAAAAGUUCACCCUUCUUCAUCCUGAAGGAAAGGAAAAUAAAACUUAGGUGUGUAUUUCUGGUUUAAAGCUCAGUCAUGUAAAAACCUGAGUUGUGACACUUACAGGUCAAAAACCAGGAAGAAGAAGGCUUUGGAUUCAUAGCAGUCUUUAAGCUGUACUGCAGAGGAGAGAGACACUUCAGGUACAUUCAGUAUUGAAGGAAGACAGACAAAACAAAGAUGGCUUAAAUUCACUGACCUCUUGAGCAGGUUAGUGGGACAUUGUGAAAGACAUUAGUUUUAUAAGACUUAUCCUGAUCUAGACUUUUCCCAAUAAAAUAAGCAUUAAUAACCGCUGA